UGUGACCUCAAAUCAGGUAGGACUACCCGCUGAACUUAAGCAUAUCAAUAAGCGGAGGAAAAGAAACUAACAAGGAUUCCCCUAGUAACUGCGAGUGAAGCGGGAAAAGCUCAAAUUUAAAAUCUGGCGGUCCUUUGGCUGUCCGAGUUGUAAUCUAGAGAAGUGUUAUCCGCGCUGGACCGUGUACAAGUCUCCUGGAAUGGAGCAUCAUAGAGGGUGAGAAUCCCGUCUUUGACAUGGACUGCCAGGGCUUUGUGAUGCGCUCUCAAAGAGUCGAGUUGUUUGGGAAUGCAGCUCAAAAUGGGUGGUAAAUUCCAUCUAAAGCUAAAUAUUGGCGAGAGACCGAUAGCGAACAAGUACCGUGAGGGAAAGAUGAAAAGAACUUUGGAAAGAGAGUUAAACAGUACGUGAAAUUGCUGAAAGGGAAACGCUUGAAGUCAGUCGCGUCGUCCAGGGAUCAACCUUGCUUUUGCUUGGUGCACUUUCUGGUUUGACGGGUCAGCAUCAAUUUUGACUGUUGGAAAAAGGCUGAGGGAAUGUGGCAUCUUUGGAUGUGUUAUAGCCCUUGGUCACAUACAAUGGUUGGGAUUGAGGAACUCAGCACGCCGCAAGGCCGGG
rnacentral:rRNA from 1 species